GGAGGGUGGCACACAGUGGUUGAGCACAUGCUUGGGAAGCAUGAGGCUCUGGGUUCAAUUCCCAGCGCCUCUG
rnacentral:tRNA from 1 species